rnacentral:rRNA from 1 species
UUGUAAUUUGUAGAAGGUGCUUCCGGCGCGGCGGCGACCCAAGUCCCUUGGAACGGGGCGUCAUAGAGGGUGAGAAUCCCGUACACGGUCGCCGGCCAAGCCGAUGUGAAGCCCUUUCGACGAGUCGAGUUGUUUGGGAAUGCAGCUCUAAAUGGGUGGUAAAUUUCAUCUAAAGCUAAAUACCUGCCAGAGACCGAUAGCGCACAAGUAGAGUGAUCGAAAGAUGAAAAGCACUUUGAAAAGAGAGUCAAACAGUACGUGAAAUUGUUGAAAGGGAAGCGCUUGCAACCAGACUCGCUCGCGGGUGCUCAGCCGUCCUUCGGGGCGGUGCACUCUCCCGCGAUCGGGCCAGCAUCGGUUCUGGCGGUCGGACAAAGGCCCCGGGAACGUGGCUGGGGAGUGUUACAGCCCGGGGUGCAAUGCGGCCUGCCGGGACCGAGGACCGCGCACCUGCUAGGAUGCUGGCGUAAUGGUUGCCAGCGACCCGUCUUGAAACACGGACCAAGGAGUCGACCAACCGUGCGAGUGUUUGGGCGUGAAACCCAUGCGCGCAAUGAAAGUGAACGGAGGUGGGAGGGCGCACCAUCGACCGAUCCUGAUGUCUUCGGAUGGAUUUGAGUACGAGCACCGCUGGUCGGACCCGAAAGAUGGUGAACUAUGCGUGAAUAGGGUGAAGCCAGAGGAAACUCUGGUGGAGGCUCGCAGCGGUUCUGACGUGCAAAUCGAUCGUCAAAUUUGCGUAUAGGGGCGAAAGACUAAUCGAACCGUCUAGUAGCUGGUUCCUGUCGAUUU